UAGCAUAUCAAUAAGCGGAGGAAAAGAAACCAACAGGGAUUGCCCUAGUAACGGCGAGUGAAGCGGCAACAGCUCAAAUUUGAAAUCUGGCCCUUUUAGGGUCCGAGUUGUAAUUUGCAGAGGGCGCUUUGGCGUUGGCAGCGGUUCAAGUUCCUUGGAACAGGACGUCACAGAGGGUGAGAAUCCCGUACGUGAUCGCUGGCCUUCGCCGUGUAAAGCCCCUUCGACGAGUCGAGUUGUUUGGGAAUGCAGCUCUAAAUGGGAGGUAAAUUUCUUCUAAAGCUAAAUACUGGCCAGAGACCGAUAGCGCACAAGUAGAGUGAUCGAAAGAUGAAAAGCACUUUGGAAAGAGAGUCAAAUAGCACGUGAAAUUGUUGAAAGGGAAGCGCUUGCAGCCAGACUUGCCUGUAGUUGCUCAUCCGGGCUUUUGCCCGGUGCACUCUUCUAUGGGCAGGCCAGCAUCAGUUUGGGCGGUUGGAUAAAGGUUUCUGUCACGUACCCCUCUUCGGGGGGGCCUUAUAGGGGGAACGACAUGCAACCAGCCCAGACUGAGGUCCGCGCAUCUGCUAGGAUGCUGGCGUAAUGGCUGUAAGCGGCCCGUCUUGAAACACGGACCAAGGAGUCUAACAUCUAUGCGAGUGUUUGGGUGUCAAGCCCGAACGCGUAAUGAAAGUGAACGGAGGUAGGAACCCGUUAGGGCGCACUAUCGACCGAUCCUGAAGUCUUCGGAUGGAUUUGAGUAAGAGCAUGGCUGUUGGGACCCGAAAGAUGGUGAACUAUGCUUGAAUAGGGUGAAGCCAGAGGAAACUCUGGUGGAGGCUCGCAGCGGUUCUGA
rnacentral:rRNA from 1 species